UCCUGGUGACUUGUUCUGUGGAACACACAGU
rnacentral:piRNA from 1 species